AUUAGACCAGCUGAUAUAACCACCACCAUCCAAUAGUUACUAUGUACAGGUCAUUAGACCAGCUGAUAUAACCACCACCAUCCAAUAGUUACUAUGUUUAGGUCAUUAGACCAGCUGAUAUAACCACCACCAUCCAAUAGUUACUAUGUACAGGUCAUUAGACCAGCUGAUAUAACCACCACCAUCCAAUAGUUACUAUGUUUAGGUCAUUAGACCAGCUGAUAUAACCACCACCAUCCAAUAGUUACUAUGUUUAGGUCAUUAGACCAGCUGAUAUAACCACCACCAUCCAAUAGUUACUAUGUUUAGGUCAUUAGACCAGCUGAUAUAACCACCACCAUCCAAUAGUUACUAUGUUUAGGUCAUUAGUCCAGCUGAUAUAACCACCACCAUCCAAUAGUUACUAUGUUUAGGUCAUUAGACCAGCUGAUAUAACCACCACCAUCCAAUAGUUACUAUGUUUAGGUCAUUAGACCAGCUGAUAUAACCACCACCAUCCAAUAGUUACUAUGUUUAGGUCAUUAGACCAGCUGAUAUAACCACCACCAUCCAAUAGUUACUAUGUUUAGGUCAUUAGACCAGCUGAUAUAACCACAACCAUCCAAUAGUUACUAUGUUUAGGUCAUUAGUCCAGCUGAUAUAACCACAACCAUCCAAUAGUUACUAUGUUUAGGUCAUUAGACCAGCUGAUAUAACCACCACCAUCCAAUAGUUACUAUGUUUAGGUCAUUAGACCAGCUGAUAUAACCACCACCAUCCAAUAGUUACUAUGUACAGGUCAUUAGACCAGCUGAUAUAACCACCACCAUCCAAUAGUUACUAUGUACAGGUCAUUAGACCAGCUGAUAUAACCACCACCAUCCAAUAGUUACUAUGUACAGGUCAUUAGACCAGCUGAUAUAACCACCACCAUCCAAUAGUUACUAUGUACAGGUCAUUAGACCAGCUGAUAUAACCACCACCAUCCAAUAGUUACUAUGUACAGGUCAUUAGACCAGCUGAUAUAACCACCACCAUCCAAUAGUUACUAUGUACAGGUCAUUAGACCAGCUGAUAUAACCACCACCAUCCAAUAGUUACUAUGUACAGGUCAUUAGACCAGCUGAUAUAACCACCACCAUCCAAUAGUUACUAUGUUUAGGUCAUUAGACCAGCUGAUAUAACCACCACCAUCCAAUAGUUACUAUGUUUAGGUCAUUAGACCAGCUGAUAUAACCACCACCAUCCAAUAGUUACUAUGUUUAGGUCAUUAG